rnacentral:rRNA from 1 species
AAGCAUAUCAAUAAGCGGAGGAAAAGAAACUAACAAGGAUUCCCCUAGUAACUGCGAGUGAAGCGGGAAAAGCUCAAAUUUAAAAUCUGGUGGUCUUUGGCCGUCCGAGUUGUAAUUUAGAGAAGCGUCUUCCGCGCUGGACCGUGCACAAGUCUCCUGGAACGGAGCGUCGUAGAGGGUGAGAAUCCCGUCUUUGGCAUGGACACACCAGGGCUUUUGCGAUGCGCUCUCGAAGAGUCGAGUUGUUUGGGAAUGCAGCUCAAAAUGGGUGGUGAACUCCAUCUAAAGCUAAAUAUUGGCGAGAGACCGAUAGCGAACAAGUACCGUGAGGGAAAGAUGAAAAGCACUUUGGAAAGAGAGUGAAACAGUACGUGAAAUUGUUGAAAGGGAAACGCUUGAAGUCAGUCGCGUCGUCCGAGACUCAGCCUCGCCUCGGCUUGGCGUACUUCUCGGCCCGACGGGUCAGCAUCAAUUUCGCCUCUCGGAUAAUGGCGAGGGAAAAGUGACACCUUUACGGUGUGUUAUAGUCUCUCGUCGCAUGCGAGGGUCGGGAUUGAGGAACUCAGCACGCGCCCUCGGGCGUCGGGGCCUUCGCCCACGAUACGUGCUUAGGAUGUUGGCGUAAUGGCUUUAAACGACCCGUCUUGAAACACGGACCAAGGAGUCUAACAUGCCUGCGAGUGUUCGGGUGGAAAACCCGUGCGCGCAAUGAAAGUGAAAGUUGGGACCUCCGUCGUGGAGGGCACCGACGCCCGGACCAGACCUUCUGUGACGGCUCUGCGGUAGAGCAUGCAUGUUAGGACCCGAAAGAUGGUGAACUAUGCCUGAAUAGGGUGAAGCCAGAGGAAACUCUGGUGGAGGCUCGUAGCGAUUCUGACGUGCAAAUCGAUCGUCAAAUUUGGGUAUAGGGGCGAAAGACUAAUCGAACCAUCUAG